AGGUAGUAAAAACAUUAUAACAAACCUAUUUACUACGGCGGCAUUUCAUUUAAUUAGAGGAACCUGUCUGAUAAUAGAUAAUCCACUAUAAUUUUAACUUUUUAUAAUAGCCUAUAUACCGCCAUCUAAAGAAUCAAACUUAAUAAUUUAUUCUAAUCAAAAACUAAAAAGUUAGGUCAAGGUGUAGCCCAUUUUUAAGUCUAGAUGUGUUACAUUAAAAAAAUUUAAGAAUAAGAUUCUAAAGAUAAAUUGAAAAAGAAUCUAACAGCAAUAAAAAAUCAAUAUCUUUUUAUAAACUAAAUAAUAAAUGUGC
rnacentral:rRNA from 1 species